rnacentral:sRNA from 1 species
GCUGGGUGCAGUGGUGCAUGCCUGUAAUCCUAGCAUCUCAGGAGGCUGAGGCAGGAGGAUUGCAAGUUCAAAGCCAGCCUCAGAAAAAGUGAAGCACUAAGCAACUCAGUGAAACUCUGUCUCUA